GACGAACCGUGCGAACGUUAUUCGGAAUUACUGGCUUAAAGCGCGUGUAGGCGGGCCGGCACGUCCGACGCUGAAAUCCCCCGGCUCAACCGGGGAAGUGGCGGGGAUACGACCGGCCUCGAGGGGGGUAGGGGGACCUGGAACUUCCGGUGGAGCGGUGAAAUGCGUUGAGAUCGGAAGGAACGCCCGUGGCGAAAGCGAGGUCCUGGACCCUUUCUGACGCUGAGACGCGAAAGCCAGGGGAGCGAACGGG
rnacentral:rRNA from 1 species